ACGCGCCUAUUACAUUGCGUACGUAUUCCUCCUUACUCACCAAUUUCUAUUCCCUGCCCAAAGUUCAGUUUAGCUUCCGUUUAGCAUUCUUAGAAUUUCUAUGCCCUGUUUUACCCUCAUCUUCCCAAGCCAAAAUCCACCUCCAGAACUCUCCCUCCCAACAUCAAAUAGAAGCUGCCAGCAAAGUGACCUCCACCGCUCCCGGUUCACUUUCAUUUGAUUGUUUUGUCGAACCAAACGCACCAUUCUGUUCUUCAAAUGCAGUGAGUAGGGAAGUCCAAAAAUAGACUUCUGUUCUUCAAAUCCCAACAAGUAUCUCCAAAGAAACCCUCAAGAAAACCUUUCCAAUUCAAUCAAGCAGACAAAUCAAAAAAAUCCCAGAGUCGGGGAAAAUACAGUUAAAAGCGUAUAGAAAAGAGACAAGGAGAACUCUUCGUCUUCUUCUUCCCGAUGCUCUGUAAGAUGCUUUUAAUUGUAAAGAUCAUACCCUCUAAUUGGUUAAGUUUUGUUUCAGUUCAUUGCUGGUUUGUUUCCGAAUUGUUUACCUUUUCUUUUCGUUUCAAUUUUUGUUUCUUUCUGGGAUUUAUGUUUGUGCUUUCUUUUCUAGGUACUUUCAUUUUCUUCCUUAUAUCUACUAGUGAUUCAACUUCUAGGUGAUUUUGGCUCUUUUAUAUAUAAAUUAUCAAUAGCAGUUUUAGAAUGAAAUUUUCUGAUUUAAGAUGCUUUGUCAUUCUUAAGGAUAGGGUAUUUAUUUAUAACAUUGAUAUGAAACGAAAUUGUAUGAUAACUUAUUUUAGCUUGUCUUGGCUUGGAAUAUGUUGAAAUUGAAAUCAAAUCGUCUGUCAAGGGAAAUUUUCAUAAACCUAGUGUCAAUACCUUGAAAGUUGAAAAGAGGUAAGUUUGCAUCAAUCAGAGGGUUUUUAGGACAUUCUAUUUAUGUCAAGUAACCUUCUUCUAUGUUACUUUGUGUGAGUGCUUUGAUAUAAGCAUAUAUCCGACAUGGUUUUAGUGUGUAAUAUAUACAUGAGGAAAUCUUAUUACUCUUCUCCUUUUGACUUUUAGUGUGUAAUAUACAUGUGUAUUAAUGGUAGGGUUAAUUCAAAAUGGACUGCUAGAUUGGUAAACAAACAUUAGCUGCAUACCAAACAUGGAAAUGCUUCCUGAAGUAUGUCUACCUCAAGUGCCUAGGUUGCCUUUUGGUAACUGCGCUAUUUUAUAUGACAUGUUGUAAUUAUUUAGGUUCUGUGUCUGCUACAAGAAUGAUGUUGUCUAUGUAAUCAUCUGUGUUCAUCCUAUCAGCAUGUGGAGUUUUGCAUCUAACCGCAUUGCCGGAACCUUCACAACACCCAACUAUGCAAACAUUGGCCUGGGAUUUUUUCAAAGUUGCAUGGCAUAUCGUAGGCGCUGAUGUGAUUAGAGCAGUGUUGUUUUUUUAAUUACUCUAAGUUGUUGCCUGCUUUUAAUACAACCACAAUUGUAUUAGUUCCCAAGGUUAAAAAUCCUGGUCAUAUGAGGAAGUUUCGGCCAAUCUCAUACUGCUCUGCUUUUUUGUGAGUGUAUCACUAGGAUUUUGGUUAAAUGACUUACAAAGCACUUACCUGAUGUGAUGCUAAAUUUGUUUUUCUAGUUUAAAGCCUAACCCUGCAAAGACUGAAAUUUUUGCUUCUGGGAUUCUUGAGAGGAAAUGGAGGAUAUUCUUAGAAUUAUUGGGAUUAACAUGGGAAGGCUGCCUAUUAGGUACCUUGGUGUUCCUUUAGUGACCAGGAGGCUGACAGUUAAGGAUUGUGCUCCUUUAAUUGACAAAAUAAUAAUUUGCCACUUGUUAUAAUUAUAAAUUUUACAAAUAUUGUGAUAAUUAUUUUAAUACUAGUUGAUUUUAAUUUGAUUUCUAAUGCUUAGAAGUGUAAAUUCUUUUGUAUAUUAGCACCCUUGUUAAAUUUCUUGCGCCUGGUGUAUCUGACCACUGUUGUUCCAAUAAAUUGAUGUUCUAUGUGAACUUUUGUACGUAUUGGACUGUUAGCUACCGAUUUGCUCCAGACAUAAAUCGUUGGCAAGCUGAAGCUCUAGUUGCAAUUCAAGAGUGUGAUAUUGCUUCCUAUUGAAGCGGCUUGUUUGAUUGCUUCCUCCACCUACAAUUCAGCGUCUUCUUUUCACACAAUCACUAUAAUUAUGUCAGGUGUUUCAGAAUCAAAUGUUCCUUCCCAAUCAUCUCGAGGAACCAAAAGAAAAUGGGUUUCAGAAGAAGCUGCAGCAUUGGUUUCCUGCAUGGUGGACUUGCACAAUGUUGGAACAUUUAACACUGAUACGGGGUUCAAAGCCGGUUACUUAAACGAGUUGGAAAAAAUGUUAGAAAAGACUUUACCUAAUGCAAUGUUGAAGGCUAGACCUAAUAUCGAGUCAAGGAUUAGGUUACUAAAAAGGGAUUGGUCAAUCGUGUAUGACAUGUUUAAUGGCCAAAACAAUAGCGGUUUUGGUUGGGACGACCAUAGGCAGGUCGUUGUUGCUGAGGAUGCGGUUUGGGACUCUUAUUUAAAGAGUCAUAAAGAAGCCGGUCAGUUCGGACAUCGUAGUUUCC